AGCUCCAAUAGCGUAUAUUUAAUUUGUUGUGGUUAAAAAGCUCGUAGUUGGAUUUCGGCGGGGAUUGGUCGGUUUUAAUUGCUUCUAUACUGACUUUUUUUCCCGUGGGUUUUUCCCGAAUUUGACGGGGGACCUUAACCGCUUGUCCGUUAGAACUGGCUGGUUUACUUUGAAAAAAUUAGAGUGCUCAAAGCAAGCUUGACUGCUUGAAUAUUCGUGCAUGGAAUAAUAGAAUAGGAAGUUGUUUCUAUUUUGUUGGUUCUCGGAAAUCGACUUAAUGAUUAAUAGGGAUAGUCGGGGGCAUUUGUAUUCAAACGACAGAGGUGAAAUUCUUGGACCGUUUGAAGACAAACUACUGCGAAAGCAUUUGCCAAGAAUGUUUUCA
rnacentral:rRNA from 1 species